GACGAACGCUGGCGGCGUGCUUAACACAUGCAAGUCGAACGGAAAGGCCCUGCUUUUGUGGGGUGCUCGAGUGGCGAACGGGUGAGUAACACGUGAGUAACCUGCCCUUGACUUUGGGAUAACUUCAGGAAACUGGGGCUAAUACCGGAUAUGAGCUCCUGCUGCAUGGUGGGGGUUGGAAAGUUUCGGCGGUUGGGGAUGGACUCGCGGCUUAUCAGCUUGUUGGUGGGGUAGUGGCUUACCAAGGCUUUGACGGGUAGCCGGCCUGAGAGGGUGACCGGCCACACUGGGACUGAGAUACGGCCCAGACUCCUACGGGAGGCAGCAGUGGGGAAUAUUGCACAAUGGGCGGAAGCCUGAUGCAGCAACGCCGCGUGCGGGAUGACGGCCUUCGGGUUGUAAACCGCUUUCGCCUGUGACGAAGCGUGAGUGACGGUAAUGGGUAAAGAAGCACCGGCUAACUACGUG
rnacentral:rRNA from 1 species